rnacentral:rRNA from 1 species
AUUGAACGCUGGCGGCAGGCCUAACACAUGCAAGUCGAACGAGUGGCGGACGGGUGAGUAAUGCCUGGGAAACUGCCUGGUGGAGGGGGAUAACGACUGGAAACGGUAGCUAAUACCGCAUACCAUCAGAUGUGCCCAGGUGGGAUUAGCUAGUUGGUGGGGUAAAGGCUUACCAAGGCGACGAUCCCUACCUGGUCUGAGAGGAUGACCAGUCACACGGGAACUGAGACACGGUCCAGACUCCGACGGGAGGCAGCAGUGGGGAAUAUUGCACAAUGGGCGCAAGCCUGAUGCAGCCAUGCCGCGUGUGUGAAGAAGGCCUUCGGGUUGUAAAGUACUUUCAGUGGGGAGGCGUUACCAGCAGAAGAAGCACCGGCUAACUCCGUGCCAGCAGCCGCGGUAAUUC